UGGUUUGGGUUUUAUUAUUAUUAUUGUUAUUAUUAUUUUAAGUGUGAUUUUUGUUGUUGCUGCUGCUGCUGCUCCAGUUAAUCUGUCUCCCUCUCUGCGUCUUUUUGAUCUUUCGCUCGCCUUGUGCUGGCUUGAACGCUGUGUUUUGUUUUGUUUGGGGUUUUUUGUUUUGUUUGGAUUUUUGGUUUUUGUUUUUGUUUUUCUUUUUUAACGCGUCUGAUGUUCCCUCUCCGAUCCGCAGUGAAAGGUCUCCGGGAAGCUGCUUGCUCCUCGCUUAUCUUCCUCUGAUCUUCUCCUUCUAAUUUUUCCCCCUGCAAAAUCACGACAUUGUGGCACUUUCUACUGAAACUUUUAUACAGGAGUUAAAACCACGUGGGAACUCCAACCUAUAACAGAGACGCCAUGGGUUCCUCACUAUUUAGGAGAUUAAGUUAAGUCUUUUGCCCCCUGGGCUAUUACAGUAACUUCCUGAUGUGGAAAUAUUAACUAUGCUGUUUCUUUAACUCCCCCCGUCCCCUCCCUCCCUCCCGGUUCCUGCAAACACACCCACCGCACACCGGCUCGCGUCCCUGUCCCGUCGUCCGGCAGGACUGACGGACAGACGGAUCGCGAGCGGCGGCAGCUCCGGCCCCCCUCCCGCCCCGGCCGGGAGAUGGAUACCCCCCUCUUCCCCCCACCCCCCGCGGUGUUCCUUGCCUUUUAAGCACUUGAAAGAAGAAGUCAUUAGAAAGUUUACCGUCGGGUUGGCUUUGCGACGGGGCGGGUUUCUGUUUGUUUGUUUGAAUGGGCCGAGUAAUCGGGGCGGGUGCCGGGGACUGUGUGUAUUUUCCGUGGGGCAGGAGGGACGCGGAGCCUGGCGGAGGCAGCGAUGGGGCGGGAGGGGGGGGGCCAGGGCGGCGGCCGAGGGGAGCCGGGAGAGGAAAUAACGGGACAGCCGCGCUCCCGCAGCCGUGGAUAGGAGCCGCCGGGAGCGAUGGCCCUGCCCGCGCCCGGGGAGCGGGUUUUCCUCCGCUCCUUCCCAGGGCAGCCCCGGGGGGCUCCGAGGUGAAGGAGCUGUGACACUCCCUCGCAGAGGUCAGGAGAGAUUCUCACCCGGCUCCCCCCAGCAGCCCAGCCCGGGGGCGAGCGGCCAGGGACGGGAGGCCGAGGCUGGGGAGAGAAGACCGCUGCACACGGGCGGCCGCGGCACCGAGCAGGGAAAAAUCUACCUUCAAGAGUGAAAGCAAUUCUCGAGCCCCUCAUCUUUGUCACCGAGCCAGAUUGGUGUUUUUCAAGGGAUGGAUGCAGGACACACAAAUUUCAAGCACAACAGCAAAGAAGUCCCUUCUCAUUUCAUUUUGUAGAAGAAAAGAAUGAAACUUCUCAUAUCUCCUUGGACUGCACACGCGAGAGCACUGUUAGUUGUCACUCACACAAGCAACUCAGGAGCGCAAAGAGGGUCAACUGGAGAAUCAGCUCAUUGCUGUGACUUAAGAAUAGAAGGGACAAGUGCUGUUCUCAUCAUAAAUAUUUUCUUUCUUGUUCUGUACUGCAAAAAGAAAGACAAUUAAUGCUGUGCUUCAGAGUCACAAUUGCAAUCCCAAUCUUAUUGUUCAUGUUGGGUUUAAUAUAACCAAAGUCUAAUUGCAUAUACAGCUUUGUAAAUCCUCAGCAUCAUUGGAGCUACCCUGGUGGGAGAUCAGAAUUAGGUACAGUAUUUCCUCCCUGUCAGUAACAGGUUUUGAAUGGAAAACCUGGAAUGUAAAAAAAGAAAUAAUGCUAAAAAUCCAAUCACUCUGACAUCCUGUGAGCUAAUAAGAGCACGUGAAUGCAA